AACGAACGCUGGCGGCGGGCUUAACACAUGCAAGUCGAACGGAAACGCCCUGCUUGUGUGUGGUUCUCGAGGGGCAAACGGGGGAGUAACAGGUGAGUAACCUGCCCUUGACUUUGGGAUAACUUCAGGAAACUGGGGCUAAUACCGGAUAGGAGCUCCUGCUGCAUGGUGAGGGUUGGAAAGUUUAGGCUGGUGUGGAUGGACUCGCGGCUUAUGAGCUUGUUGGUUGGCUAGGUGCUUACCAAGGGUUUGACGGGUAGCCGGCCUGAGUGGGUGACCGGCCACAUUGGGACUGAGAUACGGCCCAGAGUCCUACGGGGGGCAGUAGUCGGGAAUAUUGCCCAAUGGGCGGACGUGUGAUGAAGAAGCCUUGCGUGUGGGAAGACGGUCUUCGGGUUGUAAACCGCUUUAGGUUGUGACGAAGCGUUAGUGACGGUACUGGGUAAAGAAGCACCGGCUAACUACGUG
rnacentral:rRNA from 1 species